rnacentral:lncRNA from 1 species
AGGCAAUUAGAAUGGAUCUUUUUUAAUAAACACGUAGUCAGCACCUCCCCAGUUAAUAGUCCUGCAUGUGGAAAUGUUGAUAGAAAGAUUAAAAAGGCAUAACAAACAGUCCUUGCAGAGCUCACUGCCUAGCCCUGGAGGCUGGAAGUGAGCUAUGACCGUGCGUGGGGGAGAACUGAGGGAGGAACCGCAGGAGGCUGUGGGUACCUGUCUGAGGGCAACGCGGUACCCCUGAAGAGGGGAUGGGGAGCCCUAGACUGAGUAGUUGACUGGGAACAGUCUGGGAGCAAGAAGAGAGGAAAAGAACAUUUGGGGGAGGACAUGAAAGCCAAAUUUUAGAACACCACCGGUGAAGGGCACAGCACACAGACGAUGCCAGACGAUGCGAGGACGCCAGGGCGGCAAGAGGGGAAGCGGUGAGCGUGAAGGCAGAGUCAGAUCCUCACAGGCUUUGUACGGUCUGCUCUGGAGAAAGCUCGGAAGGAUUUCAACAGAUGACGUGACUCCAUUGACUUUUUAAGGCAUCUGUGGCAGCCGCGUGGAGGGCGAACGGAGGAGGGCCAUGAGUAGGUGGGGUUGCAUCCAGAGGCCUCUGGCAGUCGCGGUCACCAUUCGAGGGCUUGACUCAAGGCAGUCAGAGGAGUGCUGGAACCAGAAUGAAGUGGGAGGAUAUUAUGGAAUGUGGAAAGACAGAACAUUAAUGAAAAUUAAACAUUCAAAAGUUUUGACCUUAUAUGAGAUGCUACAGAUCUAUGGAAACAAGAUCCCAGAACUUUGAUGUCAAUGUGUUAUUCAGAGGUCACAUAUUGGAAAGAAAUGAAGAAGAGGAAAGAAAAUAGGAAAUACGUUCUAGAAAGCAUGUAGGGUUAUUUAUUCAAUGAACAUUUAAUAAAUCUAUAUCCAGUGCUGUGCUCGGUGCUGAGAAUAAAACAAGGAUGGCCAUCCACACCCUUACAGAGUUUUGUCAUUGAGAGUGAUGAAUAGCAACCAUGGCAGAAAAAUAGGG